rnacentral:rRNA from 1 species
AUUGAACGCUGGCGGCAUGCCUUACACAUGCAAGUCGAACGGCAGCACGGGUGCUUGCACCUGGUGGCGAGUGGCGAACGGGUGAGUAAUACAUCGGAACAUGUCCUGUAGUGGGGGAUAGCCCGGCGAAAGCCGGAUUAAUACCGCAUACGAUCUACGGAUGAAAGCGGGGGACCUUCGGGCCUCGCGCUAUAGGGUUGGCCGAUGGCUGAUUAGCUAGUUGGUGGGGUAAAGGCCUACCAAGGCGACGAUCAGUAGCUGGUCUGAAAGGACGACCAGCCACACUGGGACUGAGACACGGCCCAGACUCCUACGGGAGGCAGCAGUGGGGAAUUUUGGACAAUGGGCGAAAGCCUGAUCCAGCAAUGCCGCGUGUGUGAAGAAGGCCCUCGGGUUGUAAAGCACUUUUGUCCGGAAAGAAAUCCUUGGCCCUAAUACGGUCGGGGGAUGACGGUACCGGAAGAAUAAGCACCGGCUAACUACGUG